UACAGAGGGCUCAAGCGUUGUUCGGAUUCAUUGGGCGUAAAGGGUGUGUAGGCGGCGCUGUAAGUCGGGUGUGAAAUCUCGGGGCUUAACUCCGAAACUGCAUUCGAUACUGCGGUGCUUGAGGACUGGAGAGGAGACUGGAAUUCAUGGUGUAGCAGUGAAAUGCGUAGAGAUCAUGAGGAAGACCAGUGGCGAAGGCGGGUCGCUGGACAGUGCCUGACACUGAGGCACGAAGGCCAGAGGAGCAAACGGG
rnacentral:rRNA from 1 species